GCGCCGGGCGCCGCCACUAGGUGCGGAGGGAGCCAUUUGGGUCAUGUUGUUAAAGGCACGCUUAAUUAUAAAGUCGACAGGGCAGAAACCCUUGUAAUUUAGGAGAAAAGACAGGUGUUGAGGAUUGUCGAAUUUGUAAG
ensembl:ncRNA C34E7.6 ncRNA